UAGGGAAUCUUCGGCAAUGGGGGCAACCCUGACCGAGCAACGCCGCGUGAGUGAAGAAGGUUUUCGGAUCGUAAAGCUCUGUUGUAAGUCAAGAACGGGUGUGAGAGUGGAAAGUUCACACUGUGACGGUAGCUUACCAGAAAGGGACGGCUAACUACGUGCCAGCAGCCGCGGUAAUACGUAGGUCCCGAGCGUUGUCCGGAUUUAUUGGGCGUAAAAGCGAGCGCAGGCGGUUUGAUAAGUCUGAAGUUAAAGGCUGUGGCUCAACCAUAGUUCGCUUUGGAAACUGUCAAACUUGAGUGCAGAAGGGGAGAGUGGAAUUCCAUGUGUAGCGGUGAAAUGCGUAGAUAUAUGGAGGAACACCGGUGGCGAAAGCGGCUCUCUGGUCUGUAACUGACGCUGAGGCUCGAAAGCGUGGGGAGCGAACAGGAUUAGAUACCCUGGUAGUCCACGCCGUAAAACGAUGAG
rnacentral:rRNA from 1 species